CCCUCACUUCCGGGUCUCGGUGCUUGCUGGGAGCGCUCUACAAGUAGCGUAAUUUCCGUUGCCGGCUGUUUGCAGUUGGGGAAACCGAGACGGACUCCAGCUCCCCAUGGUUCUUCUGCUCCUGUCAGGAAAAAAUGUUCAUUUCUUUGUGGGAGUUCUUCUAUGGGCACUUUUUUCGAUUUUGGAUGAAAUGGCUCUUACGGCAGAUGACUGGAAAGUGUGAAUUGCAGCGAAUAUUUGAUACCUAUGUAGGUGCACAAAGGACACACAGGAUAGAACAUUCCUUGACAUACUCCAAGAGUAAGGUUUUACAGAAAGCGACACUUGCUCAGAGUGAAGUGGACAAAUGUGUAGAACAUAUAAUGAAGGAAAAGAAUAUUAACCCUGAGAAGGAUGUCAGUUUUAAAAUCUGCAUGAAGGCAUGCUUACUGCAGAUAUCUGGUUAUAAACAGCUCUAUUUGGAUGUAGAAAGUGUGAGGAAAAGGCCAUAUGAUUCUGAUAACCUGCAACAUGAACAGCUGCUUCUCAAGCUUUGGGAUCUUCUAAUGCCCACAAGAAAGUUGAAGGCUAGAAUCUCCAAGCAGUGGGCUGACAUUGGUUUCCAGGGCGAUGAUCCUAAAACAGACUUCAGAGGCAUGGGCAUACUUGGAUUAAUCAACCUUGUGUAUUUCAGUGAAAAUUAUACCAGUGAAGCUCAUCAGAUUCUUUCCCGUUCAAAUCAUCCAAAAUUAGGGUAUUCUUAUGCAAUAGUUGGAAUCAAUCUGACAGAGAUGGCUUACAGCUUGCUGAAGAGUGAAGCUUUGAAAUUUCAUCUCUACAACUUUGUUCCCGGUGUACCAACAAUGGAACACUUUCAUCAGUUUUAUUGUUAUCUUGUCUAUGAAUUUGACAAGUUUUGGUUUGAAGAAAAACCAGAAAGCAUUAUGUAUUUCAACAUAUAUAGAGAGAAGUUUCAUGAAAAGAUCAAAGGACUCUUACUGGAUUGUAAUGUAUCACUUACUUUAAAAAUGUGAAUCAUCCCUAGUACCUUCUAUUUCUACAACAUUUUGCACACACAGCAGAAUUUAUAUGUUGUAAUAGAAAUUUCUGAUCAAUUAUACUGCUUAUAUAUAAUUUCCUACAAAAAUAUUUCAGAAAUUCUAUUUAAGAAAGCUAGUGGACAAUCAGUGUAUGUUUACAGUUAUUUAUACACUGUCCUCCAAAGGUAACUUAUCCUUCCAAAGAUCCCCCUGCGGAGUCAUGUGAACUACAGUUCGGAAGUUGGGGCUUAGCCCAGUUAGUAUAAAAGUACAAAUCAGGUAUUUGUAUUAAAUGGGUUGAUUAAAAUGUGUAAAAAUCAGUUUUUACUUUUACGUGUUGUAGCUCUCAACUUGGUAUCUUUGCAAAACUCUUAGGGUUUUUUGUUUUUGAGUCUGGAAAUGAUUGUUCUUUAUUUCCUUUCCCUUAUUUUAUUUGUAGGUUAAUUAACAGGGAGAGUAGUUCUUCACGGUUUUCUUUGUUUGCAAUCACAUGUCAGUGUUGCUUCAUUAGUAGCAACGAGAGCAUAGGUGUGUCAGACAGAAUGGAGGAUCGUGGCCUUUUUGAUUUAUCUGAAUAUUGAGCACAGAUAAUGAGAGGAGGACAGUAAUGGAGACCUGCUUUUUGUGUUUUUAAAUCCACACUUUAAAAUAUCACAGUGUUAUUUUAAAGCUUAAAGGCAUUUUCUUAUGUUCAGUAUUUGCUUUUUGUCACUUGUAGAAAAGAACCUUAGUUAGUGGUUGGUGUGAGAGCCUGUUAAGGGACUUCUCUCCCUGCAUGUGUUUAUGAAAAGAGAUGUAUUUGCUAAGAAAAUCUUGAUUGUAUUCAAAGGACAGUUGCUGUUUCAAUAAAGCUGUCUUUGAACAUAAGCAUGAGAAAAACUUAAAGUUUUUUAAAAAUCUCAGUUAAGCAUCGUUGGCUUAUUUUACUUCCUGUUAACUCUUGGCUUCUCUUUGCUUUGACUCCAUGGUGUUUCUAGAUAAUGAUGUAUGGAUUUGGUAGGUGUUCUUUGAGUUAACAAUCUGUGGGAUCCUGAAGUAGCCCGAGGAUGAUGAUUGUGCAUUUUGUCUAGCUUUAUUCUCCUAAGAUCUCAGGAGGGCAGCAAGUGUGUCAAGGAUUGCAUAGUGAUGCAACUCUAAUGGGAACGAUUUCUUCUUCGUGUGUUUUAGACACUUGUACUCAGCAAAACUAAGAGUUUGAAGAUAGGUUCAUCUGAUGACUAAGUUCUUAAAUCCUACAGAAACCAGCCUGUUAAAGACAAAAUGUAAUCUAAAACAUGGUGGUAGCUGGUACAUCUUGCAACAUGGUAUAUAUCAAGUGUUGAAGCACUGGCUCUUAUAUCAAGACCUGAGACUUUCAAGUAUUUGUUCAUUUCUAUUGACAGAGCUCUCCAAACUUGCCAAAGAGAAGAGUGGUAAAAAAUUUCCGAUUGGAAAAUACAGAUGCAGUGUUGUACAGCACAUACAUGAAAGGUGCAUGCAUUAAAAUUAUGAUUUUUCUCAAUCAGAUAAAACUAUUUUUAAAAUUGUGUUCAUUUGAUUAUAAUAGUAGUAGUUUAGCUAUCCAGUGUUAGAGGAAUUUCAAAAUUGGUUUCUUGUAAGAGAGGUCUCAACCUUGGGAGUAUCUUAACUUGAUUUUUUAAAUGUUUUCAGUGCUUUAUCAUCCAGCUAGUGUUCUAUGAGAUGUAGCAAAAUACUGAUAAGGAUCAAGUGUUAACCAUUAAGUUCAUUUUAUCAAGGUGUUUACUAUUACAUGGAAAGCAAUUCUGUUAGUCUUUUCAUUUUCAUGCUGAAAAUACUUUAUAUUUUAAUCUUUCAACAGCUGAGAUCUUGAACUGAUUUAAACCUUUGUCCGUAUGCUUAAUAGAAGAAUGAUUCAGUGAGAUAGAACUUGGUCAAAGAUUUGCUCAAAGGAGAAGCAUUGCAUGAGCGUGAAAAGUGGGGUGCUCAUGGCCAGAGCAGAAAAGGUUCCACGUUGUCAUGGCACAGAAGAGAACAGGUUUGGUGUGGAGAGCAAUAAUGUUUAUUAUCCUUCUUGAAUUAAUGACGGGGGACCGACAGUUAUUUCCUCAGGAUAAACGGUCCACCCACCUUCUCUAUGAACAAGUCUGGGCAGGCUUAAUUCAGGCACUUCUCUGCAUCAGCAGUUUUUUAAUGAAAAUUAAUGGAAUUGUUAAGAAUCUGAGGGAAAUCAUGAGUGAGGUUUUUUCUUUUGUUUUGUUUUUCUGGCUUCAGCUUUUGACAAGAAAAAUUUUAAAUGCAAUGCAGGUAAGACCCAACUACUACCUUACUAUGAUAGGGCGGGUCUGCUUCUGUUAAACAAAGUAUUCAAAAAAUACUUAAGCAGUAGCUUUCCCUGGGGGGAAAAGUGCUGGUUGGCAACCUAAAGAAAUCGAUUUUUGUCUACUUUGGAUAAAGCAAUUAACUUCUUAUGUGAAAGCAAUAGUUGAAAUGUGAUGUCAUUUUGUUUGGAAUGUUGUGAACAAAUAAAAAACAUGUUGAAA